CUAAGUCAAAUAAUUAAAAAAACCUCUACGUAUUCUUGAUCUCUGUCAGGCUUUUUUUUUUUUCUUUGCUCUGUCCAUCGCUGCUCGUCGACUCGGCCAUCGUUGCUGCCUGCUCAUCGGCCGUCACCCUCGUCCCUCUGUUAUCAUCUCUCCGGUCGCUGUCUCUCAUGACUUCCUUUUCUCAACAUUCAAUGAAAAAGUAUUUUACCAAAGUAUCAAAAUCAAGUUUAGCUUCUUCUAAUCAACUUAACCAGUAAGCAAAUGCCAACCAUUCAGAAGCACCAUUACCUUCUUCUCAAGAAUUUGUUUUGAGUUCUUUAAAGUAUGAUUCCAGUGAAAGAACCCCAUUCUUGGACUAUCAUCCAAAUCAUCGUGAUGUUAUUAAAAGAGCAUACCUUCAGAAUGGUCCUUGUCAACCUCAGUUGGUUCAGCAUGUGUACCCUCAAACGAAUAUUUGUGAGUCAAUGCGUCGUUUUAAUUUUGAAUUUUUUGAUGAUGUAUAUCAUGAUUGGUUGGAGUAUAUUGUUAGUAAAGAUGCAGUAUAUUGUUUGUA